rnacentral:rRNA from 1 species
AUUGAACGCUGGCGGCAGGCCUAACACAUGCAAGUCGAACGAGUGGCGGACGGGUGAGUAAUGUCUGGGAAACUGCCUGAUGGAGGGGGAUAACUACUGGAAACGGUAGCUAAUACCGCAUACCAUCAGAUGUGCCCAGAUGGGAUUAGCUUGUUGGUGGGGUAAAGGCUCACCAAGGAGACGAUCCCUAGCUGGUCUGAGAGGAUGACCAGACAAGCUGGAACUGAGACACGGUCAAAACUCCUACGGGAGGCAGCAGUUGGGAAUAUUGCACAAUGGGCGAAAGCCUGAUGCAGCCAUGCCGCGUGUAUGAAGAAGGCCUUCGAGUUGUAAAGUACUUUCAGCGGCGAGGCGUUACCCGCAGAAGAAGCACCGGCUAACUCCGUGCCAGCAGCCGCGGUAAUUC